GAUGUCAUAAUGGAUGUUAAACAGGGAAUUUGAGAUAGAGAAAUAUUUGGCUCCCAUGAGUAACUGAAGGGAACUGUGCUGGAAAUCAGUAAUACGACAGAUUUCGCAUAGCCGAUUGGGGACUAUGGAAUUUAAGAUUGGUCCCAGGUCUGCAAACGUUAUUUCCAAAAUGGGUGCCAUCAUGAAGACAUCAUGGCUUCUGAUUUUGCCAUUUUCCUUUGAAAUGCUGAGAUGAUGGGAAGUGCUCAACAGUGUUAUCUUAGUCUUUGGGUUUGGUCUUAGUUCCUUCUGCAAAUUGUUCAAUGAAGACUACGAUUCAAGAUGCACAGAGUCCCACUGAAUUCAACUGAAUAAAGGGCUCUCCUACAGUUCACAGAUACAUAGUGAAAGGGCAAUUGGUACCUUUGGGACCUUAAUCAUUUAAUUGAUAAAAUGU